rnacentral:rRNA from 1 species
AACAUGCAGUCGAGCGAUGAAGCUUCUAGCUUGCUAGAAGUGGAUUAGUGGNGNACGGGUGAGGAAUAUAUAGCUAAUGUGCCCCUUAGAGGGGGAUAACAGUUGGAAACGACUGCUAAUACCCCAUACUCCUUCUUGUUAUAAGACAAGUCGGGAAAGUUUUUUCNCUAAGGGAUCGGGCUAUACGGUAUCAGCUUGUUGGUGAGGUAAUGGCUCACCAAGGCUAUGACGCCUAUCUGGUCUGAGAGGAUGAUCAGACACACUGGAACUGAGACACGGUCCAGACUCCUACGGGAGGCAGCAGUGGGGAAUAUUGCACAAUGGAGGAAACUCUGAUGCAGCAACGCCGCGUGGAGGAUGACACAUUUCGGUGCGUAAACUCCUUUUAUGUGAGAAGAUAAUGACGGUAUCACAUGAAUAAGCACCGGCUAACUCCGUGCCAGCAGCCGCGGUAAUACGGAGGGUGCAAGCGUUACUCGGAAUCACUGGGCGUAAAGCGCGCGCAGGCGGCCUUUCAAGUUGGAUGUGAAAUCCUAUGGCUCAACCAUAGAACUGCAUCCAAAACUGUUAGGCUAGAGUCUGGGAGGGGAAGAUGGAAUUAGUUGUGUAGGGGUAAAAUCCGUAGAGAUAACUAGGAAUACCAAAAGCGAAGGCGAUCUUCUGGAACAGUACUGACGCUGAGGCGCGAAAGCGUGGGGAGCAAACAGGAUUAGAUACCCUGGUAGUCCACGCCCUAAACGAUGAAUGUUAGUCGUCGGGGAGCUAGUCUCUUCGGUGAUGCAGCUAACGCAUUAAACAUUCCGCCUGGGGAGUACGGUCGCAAGAUUAAAACUCAAAGGAAUAGACGGGGGACCCGCACAAGUGGUGGAACCAUGUGGGUUUUAAUUCGAAGAUACGCGAAGAACCUUACCUAGCCUUGA